rnacentral:rRNA from 1 species
UUUGGAAUAUUGCACAAUGGGGGAAACCCUGAUGCAGCGACGCCGCGUGGAGGAUGAAGGAUCUAGGUCUGUAAACUCCUUUUAUCGGGAAAGACUUAGGACGGUACCCGAUGAAUAAGCUCCGGCUAACUACGUGCCAGCAGCCGCGGUAAGACGUAGGGAGCGAGCGUUGUCCGGAUUUACUGGGCGUAAAGGGCGCGUAGGCGGUCUGUUAAGUGUGAAGUGAAAUCUCCAGGGCUCAACCCGGAAACUGCUUCGCAUACUGGCAGACUUGAGGAAUGCAGAGGUAAGUGGAAUUCCUGGUGUAGCGGUGAAAUGCAUUGAUAUCAGGAGGAACACCAAUGGCGAAGGCAGCUUACUGGGCAUUAUCUGACGCUGAGGCGCGAAAGCGUGGGUAGCAAACA